CUUGGGCUCAAAUAAUCCUCCCACCUCAGCCCUGUGAGUAACUGGGACUACAAGUAUAUACCACCAUGCCCAGCCAAAGAUGUUUUUAAAAGUUCACACUCAAGGGGCUGGUUGUAGCUCAGUGGUAGUGCGCUUUCCCAGCACAUGUGAGGCACUGGGUUUGAUCCUCAGAACAUAAAAAUAAAUAAACAAACAAAUAAAUAAAUAAAGGUAUUGUGUCCAUCUACAACUAAAAAAAUACUUUAAAAAAGUUUACACUCAAUAAUAGUGAAUAAGGCUGCAGUAACAUGGUUAUACUUAGACUUUUUCAUGAUAUAUAUAAAUUGGUACAAUCCUUUUGGCACAUAAUUUGAUAAAUACUAAGAGGCUUGAAUCUUGACCUUGUAAUUCUUAUUCAGACAAUCUAUUUUUAUAAUGGAAGUUUCUAUUAUUAUGAAAUAACCAGAAACUUGGAUAAAAAUGCAUACACACAGAUGUAUACACACAAUCUAUUUUUAUAAUGGAAGUUUCUAUUAUUAUGAAAUAACCAGAAACUUGGGUAAAAAUGUAUACACACAGACGUUUAUGGGAGUGUUAUUUCUAGUUGUAAUAAAUGUUGUGUCACACAUUUGGUCACAGUGUGAUUCUAACAAUAAGAACAUGGUUAAACAAAUUAUAGCACAUCUAUAAGAUUUAAUAUUGAUAUAGAUAGAAAGACUCUUCAAAAACAUCAUGGCUCCCUCCCCAGAUUACAUUAGAGAUGAUCACAUACAUAGCCAGCUCUUACUGCAUAACAACCCUCCAGUUUUCAUACCUUAAAACAUUCUCAAAAUCUGCGGAUUGGUUGGAUGGUUCUUUUGGUCUGGACUGGCUCAGCUGGAGCAGAAUAAUUGAGGAUGUCCUCACAUACUCAUCUGGGACAGCCCAACCUCUCUAUGUGGCCUUUCAUCCUCUAGCUCAAUUUCAGGCUGUUCUAAUAGCAUUGAGAGAGAAGUUCCAAUACAUAGCACGUGUCAAACCUCAGUAUUACAUUUGCUAAUGUCCCAUUAGCCAAAGUAAGUCACAUGGCCAAGCUAAGGGACAAAGGUUGGAAAAUAGAUUCAAUCUCUUAACUAGAAGAUCUAUAAAAUAUUGUGGUUAUUAAAAUCAGUGACACCAUAUGACUUACUUUGGUUAACAGAACAUGAAAACUCUUGGGACAGAAGAUCUAAGAGCCAACACAUGCUUUCCUUAGUCUCUCUCCUGCCUUCACAACAACCAGAUACAUUUGAGAUGGCAGCGGCUCUGUUCUGUUCUGGAGUGAGCAAGAUGAACAGGGUGUCUAAGCCAUUCUGGGCUGGACAUGUAACCUGUACAAGGAACAAACUCUUGCUCUAUGAAGUCACACAACCAA
rnacentral:lncRNA from 1 species